rnacentral:misc_RNA from 1 species
GAAAUGCGAUACUUGGUGUGAAUUGCAGAAUUCAGUGAAUCAUCGAAUCUUUGAACGCAUAUUGCGCUCUUUGGUAUUCCGAAGAGCAUGCUUGUUUGAGUAUCAGUAAACACCUCAAAGCUUUUGAUUUUUUUUGAAAGCUUUGGACUUGAGCAAUCCCAACACCAAUCUUUUUUAGAUUGGAGGCGGGUUGCUUGAAAUGCAGGUGCAGCUGGACAUUCUCCUGAGCUAAAAGCAUAUUCAUUUAGUCCCGUCAAACGGAUUAUUACUUUUGCUGCAGCUAACAUAAAGGGAGUUUGACCGUAUUGGCUGACUGAUGCAGGAUUUCACAGGGGUCGGCAACGACGCUUGUUAAACUCGAUCUCAAAUCAAGUAAGACUACCCGCUGAACUUAA